rnacentral:lncRNA from 1 species
UGGGCAUCACCUCUCCAUAGGCAUCUCUCUCUUCUUGGGCAUCCUCCCUAUCCCUUAUGGUGUGGUGUGUGGGCUCCUUCCAAGGCCUUAAAAUUAGAUCUCAAGGUUCUCCUUCUUUCCUCAUGAAGAGUUUUUCAUCCCUUUCUCCUACGUUGCUUGGCGUGUGUGUGAAGUAAAGAAUCUGCGCAUCUGGAUCUCACAAAGCAAAUCGAUUGAGGAACGUCCUCAACCUUGAUUAAGUCUCCCACUGCGA